GUGAAUCAUCAAAUUUUUGAGCGCAAAUUGCACUUUCUGGUAUUCCGGAAAGUAUGCCUGUUUGAGGGUCAGUUAAAUAAAAAUCGGUGUUAUUGCUGCCUUUCGUGGUGACGCGUCGGAUUUGAGUCGUCUUACCUUCGGUUAAGUGACUUAAAAUUUUUGCAUGAUUUUCGAACGUAUUUAAAUCGCUUACGUACGUUUGAGAUAUCGAAUGCUUAUUAGGUUCGUUCAUUCCCAGGAUUCGCGCCUAUAAUUUUUCAUUAAAUGACUUCAAAUCAGUUACGAAUACCCGUGG
rnacentral:misc_RNA from 1 species